ACUUUCCCCCCCCAAAUUGCUUCCCACUUCCCCCCAAAUCGCACAAGCCUGAGAAGACCAGCACUUCCUGCGUUUGAGACGACCACAACCACCUGAGAUGGGCACCACCACCGGAGCACUAGGCACCCACCACUCAAGACCCCCAAAUAACCACCGUAUCUCACCAUUCGCGUCUGUAGUGUCCGAGACCCACCAUUCACCACCACCGAAAUACGCCGCACCACCGCCGGUUUCAAGGAACUCACCACCGUAUCUCAACAAUUGAUGAAUUUGGGCUAAUGAUUCCCUUCUAAUGACAGUAGAGACACCUACUCAUGUGAUGGAUACACCUGCAACUUCCUUCUUGAUUUAGGCUUUGAGUAACAGCAUACAGUUGUGUAGAGGAUGCAAGAAACAAUGAAAAAGCUUAAAGGGUUUGCGGAGAAUUGAUAUGUUGGCAUUGACAGUACAGUAAUUUAGUUUAGUUCAAGCUUGUUUCAAGUUACAGAACGGCAACCACGUAAAGUCAAACUGCAGGAGAACAAAAAGAAAAAAAUGUCAAGUGUUCAUUUCGGAUCAAGUUGAAACUAAAGAGCAGUUUCCGUAAUUUUGGAACAACCUCUGUUCAAUUAUAAUCUGAGCCAUGCUGCUACCAAUAUAUCGAUAUUAGCAGUUCUUCAAUUUAAUUCAAUUUCAGUAGUAAUCGGGAUGUUGUCUUCUUGUUAGGCCAAUCCUUGCCAAAUAAAUCUUGUGUUGCUGCUCGUGAACUAAAUGACAUGGGAUAUUUGUGUAGAUGGGAGUUAAAUACCAUGUGCCAUUGUCACUUGCUGGAAGAUGAUCCUUCUAAAAUGAGGUCAAAAUUCUACCUUUCUACAUUUCAUAAUCUAUAGCCAAAACUGGACCGUUUGCUUAAGUUGUAAGUUAAUCAAUUUUUAGUUUCACUCGACUAUAUUUGAAAAAUAAUCUAAAAUAAUUUAAUGGGUUUGAUGAAGAUUUUUUGAACACUUUUACAGUGAUGAACAUGUACAGAGAAAUAACAAAUCAUAGAUCUUUGAGGCAUCCAAAUAUUUUUAUAUUCAAAGUGGUAAAUCUUGGUUCUCCAACAUAUGUUUGACUUUGUCAAUUUGUAUCAAAACCAAUUUCCCGAUGAAAUGUGGCACGACAUGAGAGAGGCUACGGAUAAUGAAAUAGAUGUUUUGUUGAUGACGUUGAUGCCGAAGUUUUUUAGCGAGUUAGGUAUUUCGUUAGUUUAGCUUAUGUGUAGUUUGUUAUGUAUUCACAAAUGAUUGUAAUUUGACGGGUUUAUUUCCGAAUUGGAUGUCUACGGGUUUAUUUUGGAUUUGAAUGUGUAUUGUUUUGGUUUGAUUUGAAAA